UCAUGAUGUUGCUGGAUCUAUUCCUGGUCAAACGACAUAGUAGUGGUACAGCAAACCAGCUACAUGUCUUAGCAAUCCACUUUGGUUUCUGCUAAGUAUUUUGGGCUCCACAUAUGCAGAUGGAACAAGAAGACAGGCUCUGAGGAAGCAAAGUGAACAUCUCUACCAUGGGCUCAUCGUAGCCAUCCAAGGAUGGCUUAAGUUUCCAAACUCAAGUGGAAGGAAAAAGAUGAGUUACCCAACGUCAACUGUGGUCCGAAAAUAUUAAAUGGAUAACUCCAGAAAUAAACAAUUCUUAAGGUUUAAAUUACAUGCCAUUCUGAAGUAGUGUGAUGAAUCUCAUGCUGUCCAGCCCCAUCUCGCCUGGGAUCACCAACCAUCAUCUGCUCCUGAGAGCCAAUCAUUGACAUUGCCAUGGCUAGACGAUCCAUGAUCUCCCGAAGCAGAUGAUCCUCCUUCUGAGAUACCGUCAGAAGGGCUAUGAAGCUCUUACUCCCAAUGCUAUUAGAGGAGAGCACAUCGGUUAAUUGUACCGUAAUUUCCUAUAGUGUUUCUGAGGAUUUCAGCUUAAAAUAGGUGUUGAAUUUCAAUGAAAAGACCCCAGCUCUUGAGCUCCUGGGGGAGAGGACAGAGAGAGCAGCUUUGUGCAGAACCAAAUUGCUGAGCUUUGGAAACACCUCGAAGCCAACGGAAACUUCAGCUACAAGAGCAGGAAAAAAAGAGACCAAAAGCUACCCAAGCUUAAAAGAGAAUGAGGAAAAUGAUGAAGAGAAGCUCAGGAGCAAGCAAGAAGUACUGUGAUGCUACAGAGGAACAGGGACCUCAGAGAGUUCAAGAGGUAUAGCUGGCCUGGAGAAGCAGCAGGCAGAACCCAGAGAAAGGGCCAACAUGAGGGAGCUGAUGUUUCCCACCCUGAAGGUGAUACAGGACCAUGUGGACGUUUUAAAGAGCACACAGGAAAAGCUCAUCAAAGACUACGGGACACUGAUGAAUGAGGUCACAGGACUGAAAGAAACCCUAAGAGAGGAAAAUUAUCGAAUAAAUAUCAUGGAAGAGAGAACAGUACAAAUGAGGACCAAAUUGAGCUUCAGUCUCAAAAGAUAAAAAUUUUAAGCAAACAGUUCUUCACAGAACAAGAAGAGGUGAUGGAUCUUGAAAACACAUCAAGGAGGUAUAAUAUUUGUGUAUCUGGCAUCACUGAAGGUAUAGAAAAUGAGAGUAACCUUGAAACUAUUAUUGAGGAAAUUAUUGAAAAACAUUUUCCAGAGCGAAACAAAGAUCUCAACUUACAGAGAGAAUUUACAGGUCCCCACUUAAAUAUACCUCUUAAAGUAAAAGUCCAAGGCACAUAAUUGUACAGUUCCUGAAUUUGAAAGAAAAAGAAAUAAUCUUGCAAGCUGCUCAGAAAAAAAAGGAGGACUGAUUUUCAACAAAGUAAAGAUAGGGCUGACCCCUGACUAUGCCUUACUUACAGUGCAAGAGAGACAAAGUUGGAGCAAGAUCUACUACCACCUGAAGUUCCUGGGUCUGAAGCCUCAAGUGAACCAUCCUGCCAAGCUAUCUUGCCUAUUUGAAGAUGAGAGAAGAAUGUUUGACAAUCAAGAUGACUUCAAGGGAUUUGUCAGCAAAACUCCAAAACUACUGGCUUUUCUGCAAACAGCUGCAGCCCAGGGAGAGUGUGCUCCUUGAGAUAAGUGACUAAAUUGAUAUACAAAACUGUUUCUUAAUAGAAUGUAGAUCUUAGUUUUAUGAUUAAUUUCAUUUUUGCCAGGGUAAUUAGUGAAAAUGAAGUACAAAUGUAAUGUUGACCGAUUUGCCCUUAAGUGUAUGUAUAUCUACAUCUAUAUCCAUAUCUUUACCUAUCUAUAUAUCUAUCUAUCAUCUAUCUAUUCUACAUGAGAAGGGGAGAAGAAAAAGUUUUAAAAAAUGGGAAGGGAUGAGGGAGGGAUAAAUGGAAAAGAGGAUAUGAAUACAGCAAGAUAAUAGUAGUGGGUGGGAUAGGGAAACAUUGGAAUAUGAUAGAUAAAAUAAUAAAAAAUAAUUUUAUUGUGAAUGUGAAAGCAAUAAACUAUAGGAAAUUAACAGACUUGUUCAGAGAAAGAAAGUUUUCCCCCACCCUCUGUCAAGGGUACUUGGAUCUUUUAGAAAAUUUGACCAUAUCUUAGAGCACAAAACAAGUAGAACUGGAAGAGAUGCAUGUACAUUGAAAUGAUUGCCUAUAAACUGAUAUUUUUAGAAACAGAUUGUAAACAGUGGGUGAUGUUGCAGUGAUGUGUUUUUAAAUUGCUAAUUUGUAUUGCUCCUGCAGUUUAUAUGUCUCCAUUUAACUUUAAUUAAUAUAAUUUGUUAAUCAUACAAUAAAUGGAGCUUAAAGAACCCAA